GCCUGGCUGGCUCAGUCGGUAGAGCAUGCGACUCUUGAUUUCAGGGUUGUGAGUUCGAGCCCCAUGUUGGGGG
rfam:Felis catus isolate Cinnamon breed Abyssinian chromosome X, whole genome shotgun sequence.